CAGUCUCCUCCUCUCCCUCUUCCCUCUUCGACUCCUCUUUAGGGUUUUGACUCCUCUCCUUUGCGCCAGCCACUACCAUUUUCACCCGAUGAUGGCGGCGACGGACAGUACCAGGCGGCAAAACCAUUUCCACUGAGGUGAUGGUUCUGCUGUCUUCUAGCUUCUUCUUAAUUUUUUUCCUUUUUUUUUCAGAGACCUUUUCCGGGGGUGUCGUACGAUACGAGAAUACAAACUACAAUCUUCCCAACCCCCCAUUUCUCGGUCCGUUCACGCUCUCAGAUCUAACUCAUCCAAUCCAUUCAAUUUGUUUUUUCCUGUUUUGUAAGGCAUUUCGAUAGACCAAGAUGAGCGUGAUCUACCGAAAUCGAAACAUAAGAAGCGCACUCACAAUAGGGGAAGCAAGCAGAGCACUCUAGCCUUAUCAUUUCAAGGCCAACACAAAGCAGAGAAAGCAAAAAAAGAGAGAGGGUCAGAGAGAUAAUAAAGUGAAGGAAGAAGAAAGGGUUUGUUUGUGUGAAAGAAAGGAUGCAAAGUGAGAACCAGAACAACUAGUUGGUAGUGCAAAAUUCGGGGAGCCUGAGCUUUAGCAGCCAUUCGGUUUGGUCGUGUCGAAGAAGAAACUAAGCAUCUUGCAACCAUUCGUGAGAAUGGUGCUACUGCUCCUGCAUCAAAGUCAUGUAUUCCAUCAUUAGCAUCUGAGUCACUGGGCUUUGGUCAAAGGCAUGAUGAUACAGUUGAUAUUCCUUUGGAUACUACAAAUGUAAUGUCAUUGCCAAUUCAGGGACUUCCUCUUAAGACUGAAAUAUAAAGAAGAGAAGAGGCUGUUUCUAGAGCUGGUGUUCCUAUUGAUAAUAAGAAUUGGCCUCCAUUUUUCCCAAUCAUUCACCAUGAUAUUGCCAAUGAGAUACCAGUUCAUGCUCAGAGGCUGUAAUAUUUGGCCUUUGCAAGUUGGUUAGGUAUGAUUGCUUAAAUACUAUUGUUAUUACUUGGUUGGUUGAUUACUUGAUUGUUAUUAAAAAGUCCUUUCCUAAGCAGAUUCGAGGUCCAGCCUGCAAUGACACCAUUAAUUAAAACAUACAUAUAUAGGGACAAUUGAUAAAAUCAACUUACACUACUAUAAAUAAUAUCAAUUCUUACACUAUAUUAUAAAUUUAUAUGAGAUAAUUUUAUCUUAAAAAUUAUCAUUGAAUCAAAAGUUGUUAUCAUAUAAUUAUAUUUUAUAAAAUCUUAUUGGGACUUUAUUUCUAGUCGUAGGUAAGAAAGAAACUAAACUGGGGUGUGGUACGUGAAUGUCAUUAGUCCAAAGGGAUUUUCUCUUUGAAAUAAUUAAUACUGUUAAAUUUCAAAAUGGCACACAUACAUGGAAGAAAAGUUGGAACAAGCUAUUUGAUAGUUGUGCAGAGGAGUUACUUUGGUAAAGUUGUAUGCUUUUACUAGUGAUUAACGGUCGCUGUCUUCAGUUUCCUGCUUAAUAAAAUGUUACAUAUAUAAGCUAAAAUCAGUGUGAUAAAAUUAUAUUUUCGAUUUUUAAUUAUAUUAUAAUAUUACAAUAUAGGUUAAUUAGUUAAUUAAGACCUUAGUUUUACUCGUCUUUGCUGUUUAUCGUUCCCCUUCUCUAUGUGGGUAUGAUUUUAUAUUGUAAAAGUACAAUCAAACUGUGCAUUUUGUAUUUGGAUGAUGGUGAUGGUUAGGUAGGAUACUAUCUUACUUACACGAGGAGCUAGCAAUAGUAAUCUAAUGAUUUAUAGUGACAAUAAUAUUUGGCAAUCUCCCUGUUCCAGUUAAUAUAUGCAAAAGUUAAGUACGAAUAUAUAUCUUCAUAUAGUGAAAUCCGUCAAUUGCUUCAAGCCUUCAACUCUCCAUACAUAGCUAUAUUCAUGAAUUAUAAUUUUUCAAAAAAGCAUUUUGGCAACGGGCGUACACCUCAUUAAGCCAAAAAUCCCUGUCUGUUUUUAUGCUUGCCAUUAUUCUUUGCAGAUGAAACUGCUGAUACAUCUAGCUUAAACAAGUGGAGGUGUAGAUAUUCUUUCCAAGGGAACCAGAGCUAGUCUCUUGCUAAUUGUUCAAAAUCAUGUGAUUGCCACUCAGGACAUACCGAUGAAAGUACAGUAUCAUAUUGUGUGUGAGAGAUGUGUAUUUUGUGGCAUGUGUAUUCAAGGAUUAAUUAACUAUUUGAUGUGGUUGAAUAUUGAAGCAUUCUAAUUAAUGACUACACGUUUGUCAAAAUAUGAUUAA